AUGAAGUCUUAUCAUAGAAGCCUGUAAUCAUUUCUUGUAAGGUCCUAAGAACACUGUCAUUACGGGCUGAAUGGUGAAAAUACUUAGAUAAGAAAAUAGCAGGCAUGAGUCCUGAAGAAAUUUAAGCAACCCUGGACUGCAGGACAUCUUGGUUCCAGUCACAAGAAAACGUGUUCUUCAUCACAGGGGUCCGAACAUCAAUCAAGUGCUCUUGUUUAUGCUGUAAGAACCUUACUCGUUCAGUCAUCUUCCCAGGU